AGCAGCAGCACCUCUCUGACUCCAGCUGCAUGGAAGAAUUAAGGUGGCUGGCGGAAGGAUCCAGUCCACUCUAACCGGGGUGGGAGAACAGAAUGCUCAUUAAGGGAUACUGGUGCAUGGAUGUGAGCGGCAGAUCCAUUGGAGGUGAAUUGAAGAAGAUGGAGAGGAGACUGCUGCUGCCACCGUGACACACCAUCCUAGUCAGGGGCAGAGAGAACUGCAGCAUUUGGUCCCACAGCUCCACAGCACCGUUGAGUGAACCAGCUGCAUGUGUGGAAUGUGGGGCUAUGUGUGGAUAUCUCUGCUCUGGUCGAGAGAGCAAAAGAGAGGGGAAAGAGAAAUUCCACGAAUUUACCAAAAGCCAACAGGACAGGCAUUGCGGUGCAGAUAAAGAGGUCAGGCUGAAGACCAUUGGACCUAUGAUGGAUUUUUCAUGUGAUGAAACAGACAAAGGCCCGCCGGUACAGAUGCACAGCCUCAGAGAGUUUGAACAGAGUGGAGUUGGCCCAGGCGCUUGCUUGUCCCCAUUGUGGAGGUGAGGUUAAAAAUCCUCUUCCAGCUCAGGCCUCGUUCUGCAUUCAUACUUUGUAUCUAAGUGCCUGGACUCAGUGUGUGCUUUUAAAGAGAUUCAGAUCCUGUUUUGCUUCAUGCCUCUUGUUCUCUGGCAUCAUUAAUGCAAAACAAUGGCGCUCAGAGUAAAUAGCCAUGGAAACACAGAGAGGGCUGCAGCUAAACAGAGAGGCCAGCCAGGGUUUCCAGUUGUGUGAGCCACUCUUUUCCACUAAAACAGCUGCCAUAGGCUGCAGGC
ensembl:lncRNA